CUCCAACAGAGCAACAGACUGAUCCUGGGGCAAAAAGUCCAUGUUGGUCCCAAUGCCCAGCUAUGGACAGGCUACUGGGCAAUCACCACCAGCCCAUGCUUUUCUGCAUCUAGACCACUGGCUGAAUUAGAAGAGACUGGGAGAAACCAUGAUUGGAAGGAAUUGAAUCUUGGUCCUACAACAGUGCUACAAAGGGGUUCAUCCACAAGAAAUGUUUAAGAGUGAGCAACUAAAAACUUUAACAUUGACACAACAUCCAAGCAUGUGAUUAGCGACUUGUCUCUCCAAACAAGGUAGAAGCCAGCUUGAAUGUCUUCUCUCCUGUGAAAGCAGCAGCAGCUGUUUUGAUAGAAGUCUAAAGAUCUCAAGAUUCUUGAUCAAUGCAGCCUUCUUGAACUUCCUAACACCACAGAAGGACAUUCAUUCUUUGUGAUCUCAAACAUCAGCUCCAUUUCACCGCUGCAAAGAGAGAUGUCUACCAGAUGGUGAUACCACAUAAAUAUCAUAGACAUCAUAUUAGAUCACUAAUAAUCUCAAAGUAACAGAAAGAGACAGGGUCCAGAGAUGUGCUCUGCACCUUAUAUAUGUUGUCAUCUUGAGGGAUCCUCUCAGUAACACUUCACAACAAGGAUAAUUAAUUCCAUUCCAUAAAAGGAGGAACUAAGGUUUAGUGACUUAAGGAACUUGCCCAAGGUGGCAAGCAUCUAAACAGCAGAACGUAGAUACAAAUCCAGAAUCGCUUUGCUCUGAAAACCCCCAAGUUUUUCCGUCACACCCCACAUGGCCCUGGGCUAUUAGUGCCUUUGACUUUUACCAAUAGAACAACUUCACAAAACUUGCACCCUCAUAAUAUCUCUUAUAAACAAAAUACCCUGAGGUGAUUUCCUAGAAAUAUAUUAUUGCAUCAUACUCUGUUACCAUUUAUAACCCAGAAAAUGUCCUACAGCCUUUACUCCUAAUAAAGGGGGAAAAAAACAGAGGUACAGGUUCCCUGAUUCCCAAAUAACAUUUAACCCCCCCAGGACAUUGCCGGAGUGCAGCCAAACCAAUCCCCGCCCCCAUCUAGCUCACCCCCCAUCCCAGGGCUUUCUGAAAAGAGGGAACUGCCAAGGCCAAGUUACUCUUCUAAAGCUUUUCUUAUUGUAGCUGUUUUAUUAUUCAUAUACUUUUAAUAGCAUCUCAGUAAUUUUUUUAUAGACCCGCUAUAGCUUAAGUUAAUGCUAAGGACAUUACAAGUAGCUCCCUUUUAAAUUUUUAACCAGAAUAAAAGUUACAAAAACCACAUAUACUCCAGAAACUGUAAGAUCUUGUACAUAAACAAGACAGUUUUACAAGGCAACUUACAGAUUUUAGGAGGUCCCACAGGUAUUUGCUGCCCAUUACAACUACAAAAUCCAAAGCCUUAGUGACCAUCUAUCUAUAGGCAAGUAUGUGAUGUUUUCUGGCUUAAAGGCCAUUUUCAGGAAGUGUCAUAGAAGAAGAUUCUAUUUCUCUCCUUUUCAUUAGACAAGAAAAUCAAAUGUUUUUGGCAGCUGGGGUUGGGGGUAGGGAGGAGGUACCAAACAGGAAGACACUAGAAGGGGCAACAUUAUGCAAUUAUUGAGCCAACCUACUUAAAUUCCCCAAGUGGAUGUGCCUGGUUUAGAAGAGGUUAAUGGUUAUCUUUUAUUGAAGGGAAAUGAGUUUUGUUAAAUGUAUUGAUAGUGCUAACUUAUUAAUAAUUGAAGAACAGACCUUCUCCACUGCCCCAUUAGAUAUGCUCUGUCAUAUACACGAUGAUGAAUUUAAUGCCCCUGCUUUUAUAUAUAGGAGCCAAUAGUGGAAUUCCUCUCUAAUCUAGAAGGUUGGGCUCCUGAAGAAUCUUCCUGAUAGGAGAAUCCCUGGCUGUAGAGAGUAAUCUUAUGAGAAAAGCAAGGUGGAAGGAAUAAGGUCCUGAGUGAAUCUCUGACAAAUAUUUUCAUAUUUACUAAUACACAAUGAUAAAGCCAGCACAAUGCAGUCAAUAAUGACAUUUUUACACAUCUUAAAUUAGUAAUAGUGGCCUCUAUACAGUUAAUCUUCAUACCUCAUCCCUUGACUCCAUGGAUAUUUAUUAAGAUAUCCAUCCCUCAAGUUUCAAAGGGAUGCUAGUGAAUUCAUUUUAUCUUUAUAGAUAAAUGACAAGCUAGGAGGCAGCUUUUCCUGUGUUUAGUUUUCCAGCCAAAUGUCUUUCUACAAUUCAGAUUUUACAAUUCAGAGCUGUGGCUAUCACCCCCCAUGCCCCUCCCCCAGCCCCCUGCCUCAAAUCCAAAACAAAAGACUGCCUGCCUUUGGUCCCAGAGAUGCAGGGAUUUCUUGCACAUGGAAAACAUCUUAGAAUGCCUGAAUUGGCUUAUGCAUCCCAGGUUAGGAAAUUGUUCUUCAUUCCUCUCCUAUCCCAGAAUGAUAGCCCCAAUGUCAGCAUACUCAUUGGUCCUCCUGCCUUCUCAUCAUACAGCAAUAGUCCACCUCAGGAAUCCAUGAUUCCUUUCCUUUCGGCUUCCUUCCACUUCAUGGCAAAAACUCCAACUUCACUUACUGUGAUAGUUUUAUGUGUCAACUUGGCCAGGCUAUAGUGCCCAGUUACUCAUUCAAACACUAACUGAGGUGUUGCUGUGAAGGUAUUUUGUAAACGUGGCUAACAUCUGCAAUCAUGAUUGACCUAAGUGAAGGAGAUCACCCAACGAUAAUGUAAGUGGCCCUCAUCCAAUCAGUUAAAGGCCUUGAAAGAAGAGAGAAGAAACAUUUUCUGCUAAAGACAGCAGCAUCACCUCUUGCCUGAGUGUCCAGCUUGUUGGUCUGGACUAACAGAUUUCAGAUUUUGAACUUAGCAGCCCCUACCCCCACAAUUCUGUGAGCCAAUUCCUUAAAAUAAAGCUAAGAAGGAAAGAAAGAAAGGAAGAAAGGAAGAAA